rnacentral:lncRNA from 1 species
GCCUGGUGUUUGCCAAGGCUUUAGUGCUGAGCGAGUGCUAAGCAGGGGUGGGGAGGAAGCAGCUGACCAGGCCCUGCAGUCAAUGACCAGUGAAGCUUGUCAGAGGGCACCCCUGGGUUACCCCUCACUCUCAGAGGCUUAGUAGUUGAGCAAGAGUUACACCCAAGAGUGUUUAAAUCAGGCAUUCUAGGUAGCUGGUCCCAAAGGCAACUGUAUACCAGAACCUCAGGGGCAGCAGAGAAGUUGCUUAAAAACAGUUUCAGGACCAGAGGGUUUCAUUGGUGUCUUCUCAUAAACAUGUAAAGAAGAAUUAACACCAAAUCCUUCUUAUUUGUCCAAAGGAUUCAAAUAAGAGGAAAUAUUUUCUUAACUCAUCCCAGGAGACCAGACUUACCCUGAUAUGGAGGCCCAAAAAAGACACCGCAAGAAAAGCAAACUACAGAUCACUACCUGCUGCAAACACAGAGGCAAAAGUCCUCAACAGGAUACCAGCAAAUCAAACUCGGCAGUGUGGUGAAUUCUUCAUAAUAACUACCACCCAGAUCAAGAAAGACAAUAUCAGACCUUUUCCUGCCUCUCCAAAGUAAUCACUAUCCUGAC